ensembl:snRNA U6 U6 spliceosomal RNA
GUUUUUAUACUUUGGCAACCCAUAUACUGAAACGAGAAUGAUAAAGAUUAACUUGGUCCCUGCACAAGGAUGAAAUCAAAUUUGUGAAGCAUUCCAUAUUUUU